GAUGAACGCUGGCGGCGUGCCUAAUACAUGCAAGUCGAGCGAACAGAUGAGGAGCUUGCUCCUCUGACGUUAGCGGCGGACGGGUGAGUAACACGUGGAUAACCUACCUAUAAGACUGGGAUAACUUCGGGAAACCGGAGCUAAUACCGGAUAAUAUAUUGAACCGCAUGGUUCAAUAGUGAAAGACGGUUUUGCUGUCACUUAUAGAUGGAUCCGCGCCGCAUUAGCUAGUUGGUAAGGUAACGGCUUACCAAGGCAACGAUGCGUAGCCGACCUGAGAGGGUGAUCGGCCAAACUGGAACUGAGACACGGUCCCGACUCCUAAGGGAGGCAGCAGUAGGGAAUCCUCCGCAAUGGGCGAAAGCCUGACGGAGCCAAGCCGCGGGAGUGGUGAAGGUCUUCGGAUCGUAAAACUCUGUUAUUAGGGAAGAACAAAUGUGUAAGUAACUAUGCACGUCUUGACGGUACCUAAUCAGAAAGCCACGGCUAACUACGUG
rnacentral:rRNA from 1 species